rnacentral:rRNA from 1 species
UACAGAGGGUGCGAGCGUUAAUCGGAAUUACUGGGCGUAAAGCGUGCGUAGACGGCUAUCUAAGUCGGGUGUGAAAGCCCCGGGCUCAACCUGGGAAUUGCAUUCGAGACUGAAUAGCUAGGGUACGGUAGAGGGAAGCGGAAUUUCCGGUGUAGCGGUGAAAUGCGUAGAUAUCGGAAGGAACAUCAGUGGCGAAAGCG